AUUGAACGCUGGCGGCAGGCCUAACACAUGCAAGUCGAGCGGAUGAAGGGAGCUUGCUCCUGGAUUCAGCGGCGGACGGGUGAGUAAUGCCUAGGAAUCUGCCUGGUAGUGGGGGAUAACGUCCGGAAACGGGCGCUAAUACCGCAUACGUCCUGAGGGAGAAAGUGGGGGAUCUUCGGACCUCACGCUACCAGAUGAGCCUAGGUCGGAUUAGUUAGUUGGUGGGGUGAAGGCCUACCAAGGCGACGAUCCGUAACUGGUCUGAGAGGAUGAUCAGUCACACUGGAACUGAGACACGGUCCAGACUCCUACGGGAGGCAGCAGUGGGGAAUAUUGGACAAUGGGCGAAAGCCUGAUCCAGCCAUGCCGCGUGUGUGAAGAAGGUCUUCGGAUUGUAAAGCACUUUAAGUUGGGAGGAAGGGCAGUAAGUUAAUACCUUGCUGUUUUGACGUUACCAACAGAAUAAGCACCGGCUAACUUCGUG
rnacentral:rRNA from 1 species